GCCUUCGUGAUGUAGUGGUCUGCGAACUCGACGCGUAACCGAGAGGUCCGUGGUUCGAUUCCCGGCGAAGGCG
rfam:Stegodyphus mimosarum contig111337, whole genome shotgun sequence.